UGGGGAAUAUUGCACAAUGGGCGCAAGCCUGAUGCAGCCAUGCCGCGUGUAUGAAGAAGGCCUUCGGGUUGUAAAGUACUUUCAGUCGGGAGGAAGGUGUCAAGGUUAAUAACCUUGGCAAUUGACGUUACCGACAGAAGAAGCACCGGCUAACUCCGUGCUAGCAGCCGCGGUAAUACGGAGGGUGCAAGCGUUAAUCGGAAUUACUGGGCGUAAAGCGCACGCAGGCGGUUUGUUAAGUCAGAUGUGAAAUCCCCGGGCUCAACCUGGGAACUGCAUCUGAUACUGGCAAGCUUGAGUCUCGUAGAGGGGGGUAGAAUUCCAGGUGUAGCGGUGAAAUGCGUAGAGAUCUGGAGGAAUACCGGUGGCGAAGGCGGCCCCCUGGACGAAGACUGACGCUCAGGUGCGAAAGCGUGGGGAGCAAACAGG
rnacentral:rRNA from 1 species